GACGUAGGGCGCGAGCGUUGUCCGGAUUUAUUGGGCGUAAAGAGCUCGUAGGCGGCUUGUCGCGUCGUCCGUGAAAACCCACAGCUCAACUGUGGGCUUGCGGUCGAUACGGGCAGGCUAGAGUUCGGUAGGGGAGACUGGAAUUCCUGGUGUAGCGGUGAAAUGACGCAGAUAUCAGGAGGAACACCGGUGGCGAAGGCGGCAUCCUGGACCGAUACUGACGCUGAGGAGCGAAAGCCAGGGGAGCAAACGGG
rnacentral:rRNA from 1 species